UGGUCGGAUGCUCGCUGGCUGGAGCGCUUAGCUGUUAACUAGGAGUUUGUGGGAUCGAGGCCUACCCGACCAG
rnacentral:tRNA from 1 species